UUCCGGCCGACCCGGAAGCAGCUCUUCUGGCUCGAAGGCCCGUUACCUGGCUUGAGUUUCAGUAUUUCUCGUUCAAACUCGCUCUUGGAUGCCCUGAGCGCCGCGUCCUCCACACCCGGAGUCCCGGGUCCCUCGACCGCUACCGUCCCCGCCCGCGGGGAGCCCCGCCUAGUCGGGGGGAGCUCUGCUGCCGGGGCCGAACCUGAAUCUGUUCCGGGACUCUGGCCUCCUGGGAAGAAGGCCAGACUCAGGGACCAUGCCCUGCCCACCAGCCCUCCAAAGCUCCACCUACUCUGAACAAGGAGACUAGAGCACUUUCUCAGCCCCGUCUUGCUGCACUUUCUGCCAUGCUCCCCCCUACAGUGUAGAGAUCUGAUUGAAAGUACUCUCCUCCCUGCUGGGUGACUCACAGAGGAAAAUAAGAGGAAACAGUGCCCAGAAUCCAGCUAUCACACCACCCACCCACCCACAGACAUUUAAAUAACCCUCCAGAUCCUCAGUCCCCUCAGCUCACCCUAGAAGAUUCCAGUUCCUCAUCAGAGUGCGUGCAUACAGCGGGCAGAGAGCAAAACUCAAGAACCACCCUGGCACUACUUGUCUCUGUGAUGCCGAAGACAUUCUCCUUCCUGUGUGUUACAGAGAAGAUUCAAAUUUCCAGAGUUUGUAAGCUUUGGAAGAUGCUAGCUGAACAUUCUGCACUAUGGAGAUGUGUACCUGACACCUUACAGGGCAGAUGAUGAACCUGCCCAGGCUGCAGGCUCUGUGUUUCCUGGAGGUGGUGGACAUUCCCCUAGUGCCUGACGAGGGGCUCAUGAUGGCUCUCUCUGAAGUUGAUUGACUCCACAGCCUAAAACUGGUGAACUCCUUCUCAUCAGGUGGAUUCCUGCAGGCAGUAGUAGCCCAGCAUCUUCAGAAGCUCAGUAUGAGAGUGGGCUGCACAACCAAAGUAUUGUCUCAACUAGAAAGGAUGGAUUCCCUGCUAUAACUGGAACUAAAAUAUUCCUCCCACCACUGAAGACUUCGUCUCUGCUUCUGACAUUCUGUCUGUUUGCCUCAGAAUGCCAGGUUCCAAGUCCUCCGGCUCCCGGAAGUCCACCCCUCAGACCAGGGGAGGGAGGAAGCCAGGGCUCCUCUGCAGGAGGUGCUGCUCCUCUGUGUGGUCACCUCCAAUCCCAGGCAACACUCAUCCACCAAGUGGUGGAAGCGAUAGCCCAGUGUGACUCAGGCCUCCUCCUCACCGUCCUCACCUACACACCCUGCGUCAUUUCUGUCCGUCCCCUCGCUGCCGAAUGGUUAUCCCUCUGGGGUUCCAAUUUUUCAGAGGCAUUUUAAACCAUGAGAGGACAUAACUCACAUUAAACUGUGGUCAGGGAACAGACUUUUGAGCCAGAUACACGUGAGCGUGAAACAUAGUUCAACCAAUUAUAUGCUGUGUAGUUUUUGUUAAGUCACAUGAAUCCUAUCCAGGUUGGUUUCAUGAAAGGAAAAGUGACAAUAAUAAUGGCAAAUGAGGGAAUUCCCUGGCGGUCCAGUGGUUAGGACUCUGCACUCUCACUGCCGAGGGCCCAAGUUCGGAACUGAGAUCCCACAAGCCGCACGUGCCGCGGCCAGAAAAAAAGAAAAAAAAAUAAUAAUAAUGGCAAAUGAAUAAAUGGCAAGAUUAUAAGAAUACUCCUGUUACCUAAUAUGUGAUCAAUAUUGAUGACAUGUUUGGGUAGAGGGCUUCUUAGAUCUUCCAUAAGAGUUAUCCAUAGACUUUGUUGUCUGUACUUUCUGCUCAGUUUGCUUUGAACCUAAAACAACUCUAAAAAAAUAAAGCAUUUUUAGAAAAAGAAUGAAAGGAUAUCAUCUGUUUUCCUUAAUUCCAUAUAUGUGAUUUACCUAAUUAGUGAGAAAAUGUUUGAUUAAAAAGGCAUGCCUUGAUUAGAUCUACACUGACUUGGCAUCCAAAUUAAUCAGGGUGUGUCUUUUGAUUUACAUGAUGGAUGAGAGUAUCAGCUGCUUAUAAGGAGGGAUUGCCAUCAAAAGCUGAUUUAUCUAGAGAGAGAAACUCUUGAGUUCCCUUGGGUGGUGACUGCAUCCUCAAUAAAGAGUUGGCUUCUUUGGCUUUUCCAUGGGUUUGGGUAAGUAGUAGAGAGAAUUUUUAUCAGGAAAGACAGACUCCGUUAUUUCAGAAGAGUUUAUAGUCAGGAAAUGAUGGUUUACAUGAGUGCAGCCACUUGGGGGCAAGUUUCCUUACUGUGGACAUAGAGUUUCUCUGUAUUCAUAAUUCAUAUGUAAUGGUCAGAGGUGAACCUGCCUAAUCUUACCAUGCAUAGGUAGAUUUAGACCACUGGGAGGGCAGAGUAUAAAUAAAUAUCUAAUGACUAAUUAGAUGAAUGGCUUCAAGGAGUGGUAGAGUUCUGUGUAAAUUAGGGCAGAGGGGAAGGGAAAGGUUUAAGUUGGUUGGAGUUUAGUGAAAGUCUCCUGCUAGUUGAGAUUUAAACUGAUGCUGACAUAAAAUGUGUAUGGGUGGAAAUGAAGGUUGAUGCCACUCCCCAGUGUAGAGAUAGCAGCAUGUGUGUGGGCUCAGCCAGGUUAUGCACACAUCAAUGCCAGGAUGUCUGGUAGAGCCGUUAACUAAGAUUGAAGACUAGAGGAGGAGUGAUUUUUGUAUUUGGAGGGACAGAAGUAUUGUCCUGAGAAAUAUUUCGUUUCAGGUGUAUGCAAGUUUGCAAGGAGAGGUGAUAGCGCAGAAAUGGAAUCCAGACAAGAAGUUGGUCAUUUUCAACAGAGAUAGCAGUAGAAGAAAUUAGAGCAAUUGAAUAAAUGGAUGAGAGGAGAACAGGAGCUCCCAUUAGGUCUUGAGACGCUCCAAUAGGACCGAGGAAUUCUUUGUAGAGGACUGGGAGAAGGACUGAUAACAGAGUAGAUUGAAAACAGGAGAAUGAGGUGUCAGUUUAGGCUAGAAAGAAGUUCCGAAAAGGAGGUCAAGUUUCAACUUUUGUGUUCAAGGAAGAAUCUAUCUGCGGGGAGAUACUUGGUGAUAUUAACAAUAUGUAUGCAUAAGAUAAUCAUUGAGGGUCUUUGCAGGUCAAGGGAGAGGAGGACAUGAGGGCUGAUGGCUGUACUUCCAGCUUGAUGGUGAAGGGAGGAUAGAUGGGCAGGGACUUGAGAAAAAAUAGGUUCAGAGGAGAUUUUUGCUUCAAGUUAAAAGAGACAUAAUGAGCUUAACUGAUGAGGGGACUGAUGGACAGGUUUCUGGUAAAGGAGAACAAGAAAACAGGAGAGAAAGGAGUUCAGCUGGAGACGCUAGACUUAGCUAGUGGCAGCAUGACCCAUCAAUUUGAAGGGAGAAAAGGAGUAACCCAGGGGUAGGAAUGUAGGAAUAUCUGUAGCUAUCAUGAUGGUGAACCGAGUUACUUUGUCACAUCAUGUAAUCCGUCUGUGUUAUGACCUGAAUUGUGUGCCCCCAAAAGUCAAAUAUUGAAGCCGUCCUCAGACCUCAGAGUGUGAUGGUAUUUGGAGAUUAGGCCUUAAACGCGGUGAUUAAGUUAAAAUGAGGUUCUUAGGGUGGGCCCUAAUCCAGUUUGGCUGGUGUCUUUGCAAGAAGAGGAGAUUACGGCACAGACAUGUCCAGUGGGAAGACCAUGUGAAGACGCAGGGAGAAGACAGCCAUCCAGAAGCUAAGAAGGGCGGCCUCGGAAGGGACCAACCCUGGCUUCACUUUGAUUUCGGACUUAGAGCCUCCAGAAUUGUGAGAAAAUAAAUUUGUUUAAGCCACCCAGUCUGUGAUACUUUGUUACAACAGCCUUAGCAAACUAAUACAAUAUGUGUAGUAGGAAAUAACCUCAUCUUUUGAAAUGUGAAGAUUGUGUAGAUUCAAAAGUCAUGGUGACAAUUUGAAAUAUUUAUGGAGCAAAUAUUUGAAAUAUUUAUGUUUUACUUUGCAAAACACAGUAGAGUUGCCAGAUAUAUUUGAAAACAACUAGGAGUAGUGAUUCUGUGUUUAGACGGGUCAACUUAGUAGUAGUGUGUGUCAGAUGCAGUCAUGGAAAAGGCAGGUACAAGGAGUCACCUGCUAUUGGGAUUUUGAUGGGGAAAUCCGGUUAAUAGUCCAAGGGACAUAGAAAAUGUUCUGGUCUUGGUAAGUGCCUGUUGAGUAAGUGUGGAUUAAACUGAGCAGAAAAAAUGUAGAGAGAUGUAGCUUGAUGUUUGAGAAGUGAAAUAAGUACAUUGGCAGUCCCCAUGUGGCAGAGGACCUGAGUUUGGAGUAUCAGAAGGCAGAGGGGUUGUAGUUACAGGUUGGGGCUCCUGAUUAAUGUCAGAGGUGAUAUUCCAGGUAAAACCUGGAUGUGAUGUGUAUUGCAUAAGAAAUAUGAGCAUAGGAGCAUGGCAGAACAAAAUUAAAAUGAUAGACGUGUCAUUUCUAGCUGUGACUUUGUUAUAUGAUUAAAUUUUUGGACCUCUUCUGUGUAUGUCAUUUGUUAUAUUGGUAAACAAACUAAAAUCGCCACGUUUAUUUUAAGGCCUAAAUGAGUGAAUAUACGUAAAUAUCCAAGCACUAAGUCAUGUUUGAUACAAACUUUUUUUUUUUUUCUUUUUCUGGACCUCAGGUACAAAUGGGUGAGUUAAUCCUACUUUUGUUUAUGAUGCAUUAUCAUCAUUUUCCCAUGAAAUAUAUCUAGUUAUUGGUAUUUUAGCGGAGCAUUUACACUUUAUAAAUGCUUUCUCUGUGUGUCUCUUGCACACAUUUGUGUGCAUACAUAUAUAUAUAUAUGCAUGUACACAUACGUGUGUUUGUGUAUAAUGAAAUGCAGGGAUAUUGCAGCUAAUGAAGAUUAAUGCAGAACAGGAUUUCAAGGAUUUCAGCUACCCCUUUACUAAGAUAAUCAGAUGGAGUUAACUAGAUUUCCUCGUAAACCCCUGCCAUCCUUGACACAGAGGGUUGAGACAGUCCAUGACCGUAACACUGUGACUCAUGUGCUCCUGCUACCUUCUGGAGCAGCGGAUGUUAAGGACUAGGCUGGCAGGGCGGGUGCCACGGUUCCUGCAAGUGGAAUAAGUCCUUAAGUUAACGCCCUCAUAAAACAGACUUCUAGUUGAUUGACUUCCAGGUCCAUGGGGGUCAGAUCCAACAGAGUUAAGGGAGCACUGCCAUGAAUGCUGGGGAACCCCUGCCAGUGUGUAAGUCAGAAUAAUGAAAUCUGAGAAUUCCCAGUGUUUACCUGCAGGUGGGAACCAAAAUCUACGUGCAGCGUGGGUCAGGGGUCACUGGUUUGGAGUCAGGGAGAGAACUGAAUAACUGGGUACCGCAGGCUAAUUAACAUAUGAAGCUCAAUACUUUCCAUGUUCUUGUCUGUAAGUUAUUUGUAUUUCUACUUUUUAAAUUAACAACCACAGUUAAAGUCUUCUUACUUUUGACCCUGGGAGAGGAGUAGAGGCCUCUGUGUGUUUCCAGUAGAGUGUGCACUGCAUGUUUGUUGGUUAGACUGGGCGUCACACCCAGAUGAAGGUUUGGGGCUUCAUGAACGUGUGCACAGGACUGGAG